GAUGAACGCUGGCGGCGUGCCUAAUACAUGCAAGUCGAGCGAACAGACGAGGAGCUUGCUCCUCUGACGUUAGCGGCGGACGGGUGAGUAACACGUGGAUAACCUACCUAUAAGACUGGGAUAACUUCGGGAAACCGGAGCUAAUACCGGAUAAUAUAUUGAACCGCAUGGUUCAAUAGUGAAAGACGGUUUUGCUGUCACUUAUAGAUGGAUCCGCGCCGCAUUAGCUAGUUGGUAAGGUAACGGCUUACCAAGGCAACGAUGCGUAGCCGACCUGGGAGGGUGAUCGCCCACACUGGAGCUGAGACGCGGUCCAGACUCCGACGGGAGGCAGCAGUAGGGAAUCUUCCGCAAUGGGCGAAAGCCUGACGGAGCAACGCCGCGUGAGUGAUGAAGGUCUUCGGAUCGUAAAACGCUGUUAUUAGGGAAGAACAAAUGUGUAAGUAACUAUGCACGUCUUGACGGUACCGAAUCAGAAAGCCACGGCUAACUACGU
rnacentral:rRNA from 1 species